UGGGGAAUCUUGCACAAUGGGGGCAACCCUGAUGCAGCGACGCCGCGUGAGCGAUGAAGCCCUUCGGGGCGUAAAGCUCUUUCGACCGGAACGAUAAUGACGGUACCGGGAGAAGAAGCUGCGGCUAACUACGUGCCAGCAGCCGCGGUAAUACGUAGGCAGCAAGCGUUGUUCGGAGUUACUGGGCGUAAAGAGUGCGUAGGCGGUUCUCUAAGUUCGGUGUGAAAUCUCCCGGCUUAACUGGGAGGGUGCGCCGAAGACUGGGAUGCUGGAGUGGGGGAAAGGCAGGCGGAAUUCCUGGUGUAGCGGUGAAAUGCGUAGAUAUCAGGAGGAACACCGGCGGUGUAGACGGCUUGCUAGACCAUAACUGACGCUGAGGCACGAAAGCGUGGGUAGCAAACA
rnacentral:rRNA from 1 species